GGGAGCCCACCAAGCCGAGAAUACAAGAAAUGAAGAUUCUGAAAAAGAAGCUGAUGACCAAGAUAAGGGAUAGAAAGAUGACGUGUUUGCUUGAAGAGUGAGGGAACACUGGUUCGAGCCCUGGUCCGGGAAGAUCCCACAUGCCGCGGAGCAACUAAGUUCGUGUGCCACAACUAAUGAGCCUGUGCUAUAGAGCCCGCGAGCCACAACUACUGAAGCCCGUGUGCCUAGAGCCCAUGCUCUGCAACAAGAGAAGCCACCGCAUUGAGAAGUCCUCGCACCGCAAUGAAGAGUAGCCCCUGCUCGCCACAACUAGAGAAAGCCCGCGCGUAGCAACGAAGACCCAAUGCAGCCAAAAAUA